CUGGGCUGCUGUCUUGUCUGCAGUUCGAGCGGGAGUACGGUUUAGCGGCGGAGGGGUGAGUAAUGCGUAGGAGGCUAGCCGAGAGAGGGGGAGACCAGCUGGAAACGACUGUUAAUACCGCACAAUGUCUACGGACUAAAGAGCGGUACCCUCGGGCAGAUGCUGUCGGAUGCGCCUACGUGGGAUUAGCUAGUUGGUGAGGUAAUGGCUCACCAAGGCGACGAUCCCUAGCUGGUUUGAGAGGAUGAUCAGCCACACUGGAACUGAGACACGGUCCAGACUCCUACGGGAGGCAGCAGUGGGGAAUAUUGGACAAUGGGCGCAAGCCUGAUCCAGCCAUGCCGCGUGUGUGAAGAAGGCCUUCGGGUUGUAAAGCACUUUCAGUAGGGAGGAAGAGUUGAGUGUUAAUAGUACUCAGCUUUGACGUUACCUACAGAAGAAGCACCGGCUAACUCUGUGCCAGCAGCCGCGGUAAUACAGAGGGUGCAAGCGUUAAUCGGAAUUACUGGGCGUAAAGCGCACGCAGCGGUUGGUUAAGUCAGAUGUGAAAGCCCCGGGCUCAACCUGGGAAUUGCAUUUGAAACUGGCCAACUAGAGUACGUGAGAGGGGGGUAGAAUUCCCAGUGUAGCGGUGAAAUGCGUAGAGAUUUGGAGGAAUACCAGUGGCGAAAGCGGCGCCCCUGGCACGAUACUGACGCUCAUGUGCGAAAGCGGUGGGGGAGCAAACAAGAUUAGAUACCCUGGUAGUCCGACGCCCGUAAACGAUGUCUACUAGCUGUUCGUGGUCUUGUACUGGUGAGUAGCGCAGCUAACGCACUAAGUAGACCGCCUGGGGGGAGUACGUCGCAGAUUAAGACUCCAAUGAAGUGACGCGCCCGUCACAAGCCGUGAGACAUGUGUUUAUUCGACGCCAUCGCGAGAACUUACUACUCUUGACAUCUACGAGAUUGUAAAGAUACGAAUUGGUGCUUCAGUACGCUAGAAUGUGCUGCCAUGACUGUUCUCAGCCUCAGGUUGUCAAAGUUUAGUAAGUUCCCGCAACGAAGGCCGAACCUUAUCCUCACUUGCAUCGAUAUGUCCGGCA
rnacentral:rRNA from 1 species